GACGAACGCUGGCGGCGUGCUUAACACAUGCAAGUCGAACGGAAAGGCCCUGCUUUUGUGGGGUGCUCGAGUGGCGAACGGGUGAGUAACACGUGAGUAACCUGCCCUUGACUUUGGGAUAAAUUCAGGAAACUGGGGCUAAUACCGGAUAGGAGCUCCUGCUGCAUGGUGGGGGUUGGAAAGUUUCGGCGGUUGGGGAUGGACUCGCGGCUUAUCCGCUUGUUGGGGGGGUAGUGGCUUACCAAGGGUUUGACGGGUAGCCGGCCUGAGAGGGUGACCGGCCACAUUGGGACUGAGAUACGGCCCAGACUCCUACGGGAGGCAGCAGUGGGGAAUCUUGCACAAUGGGCGGAAGCCUGAUGCAGCAACGCCGCGUGCGGGAUGACGGCCUUCGGGUUGUAAACCGCUUUCGCCUGUGACGAAGCGUGAGUGACGGUAAUGGGUAAAGAAGCACCGGCUAACUACGUG
rnacentral:rRNA from 1 species